rnacentral:lncRNA from 1 species
ACAGGUAGGGUGUCCUCUGUUUGCUCCCUCCAAGGAAGGCCAUCCACACCUCACAGCCAGUGGAGAGGUCACAGAGAGCCAACGAGGGCGAAGUCACGAGACCCCGACGACAGCGUCUCCUACAGUGCCACCACCAGAUGUCCCACACCUGCCCUCCAGAGACCUCCAGUCCACAAGGAGGCAGCACCUGCCAUCAAAAAUAGAGAAAGGAAGCCUCGCUCUUCUGGAGACCAACCGCCGAAGGGUCACUUUCGUACGGGUAUUCAGAGAGCAUCUCCACUCACAGCGGGACGAAAUCCCCUGAACUCAUGCAGCUCUGAAGGUGCCCUGAACCCAGGUGGCUCCAUGUGGAAACCGACCAGUGGGAACAAACAAAGGGCAGCCGACAGCAGCGGUGGGGGCGGCGAGUCAGGACCGAAGAUCCACUCCCAGCAGACCACAGACACCGUCGGCAAGCAAAGCCACGUCAUCGGGGUCCGAUCACUUUGAGGUAACAGAGCCUCCCCGCACCCGAGCAAUCUGACCCCAGGAAGCGCUGCAGAGGGUGCCAGGUCAAGAGUCUCACACACACACACAAACACACACACACACACCCAAAUUGGCUCAUUGUCCAGGAGUACCAGCAUUCUUCAAUUCCAGCAUUUUAUGUAAGCAACUUUGCUUUACACAUUUACACCUUAUUGCAUAUUUUUACAUAAGUGGCUCAGGGUACAAGAGCAGAGACCUGGGAUUUCAAACAGUAACCUGG